AAGGGAAGAGCAAGGCUAACUUGGGGUGAGCCUAACUGGCAGAAGCCAGAGGGCUGACUUCACGUGUUCAGUGCAAAAGGACAAGCUUCUGUGUUGCUGUUGCUGACCUCCACCAAGGGCUUGUCAAUGCCAGGGCUGACCUUCAACGCUAACAAAGAAGUAAAGCUGAAUGCGGGAAGAUUCCCAAGGGUCCGCUAACUUGGACGAUUUCUGGACAUAUCUACCGUGCAUCCUGUUAUGAUGGGACUGAAUCAGUAUGUGAGACCCAGAAUGAUUGGAACUACUGAGCACCUGGCUGGCCCCCUUACUUCCCUGUGAAUUCCAAGAGGAAACCUCCAUCACGUAAGGAGCUGCCUCCUGCCUCCACAGUAAGCUCCUGCCAGUUUGGGCCACAAUCCCUCUUCUUUCCCUAGUUAACAUUGCAGAACAUCUCUGUGAACUACAAUGCCAUAGCCAGAGUUUAAAUGGAGUUUAAAUUCCACAAGGAGAUUAUCAGAAAAUGGAGCAGCUGAAUGACUGAAACUAAUUCAGUGGUUUUAUGAAAUUUGGGACAUUGUUUAGCAGCCCCUACAGCCAUUCUGGAUCACAGUAGUUUGAAUGCCAUGCCUGCCUCUCAAGGUUACAAAGGCUGCUUUGAAAGCCACCACAGGCCAGCUUCUUGUGUGAGCCUGUAGAUUCAGGAGGUCUACCUGAAAUGCCUCAAGGAACACUUGGCAUGGGAUGCAUCUUCAUUUCAAGCAUAACCAGUCCACUGCUGACAUGAAUUCAGUGACCCAAAGUUAUUAAAUCCAAGUCUGGUGUGUGAA